AAAGUUUGGUUGCGAAAUGUUGUAAAAUGUGGAAAAUAUAUAGCCCUGUGAAAUUUGCAAAUUUUGUAUUAAUUUGUAUUACGCACAAGAAAAUGAACCACUUUCGGCCGAAAUGAGGUGCAUUUUCCAGCGCGUAAUAAAAAUUAAUACAAAAUUUGCAAAUUUGUUAGGUCUAUAUCUUCCUCAUUUUACAACACUUCGCAAACAAAAUUU